rnacentral:rRNA from 1 species
AUUGAACGCUGGCGGCCGGCCUAACACAUGCAAGUCGAACGAGUGGCGGACGGGUGAGUAAUGUCUGGGAAACUGCCCGAUGGAGGGGGAUACCUACUGAAAACGGUAGCUAAUACCGCAUACCAUCGGAUGUGCCCCGAUGGGAUUAGCUGGUAGGUGGGGUAAAGGCUCACCUAGGGGACGAUCCCUAGCUGUGCUGGGCGGAUGACCAGCCACACUGGAACGGAGACACGGUCCAGACUCCUACGGGAGGCAGCAGUGGGGAAUAUUGCACAAUGGGCGAAAGCCUGAUGCAGCCAUGCCGCGUGUAUGAAGAGGGCCUUCGGGUUGUAAAGUACUUUCAGCGGGGAGGCGUUACCCGCAGAAGAAGCACCGGCUAACUCCGGGCCAGCAGCCGCGGUAAUUC